rnacentral:misc_RNA from 1 species
GAUGAAGAACGUAGCGAAAUGCGAUAAGUAAUGUGAAUUGCAGAAUUCAGUGAAUCAUCGAAUCUUUGAACGCAUCUUGCGCUCCUUGGUAUUCUGAGGAGCAUGCCUGUUUGAGUGUCAUUUCAAGUUCUCAACCACAUCAAUUUCAAUGUGGCUUGGAUGGUGGGGGUUCUUUUUGCAGGCUUCUGUAAAUAUGAAGUCGGCUCCCCUGAAAUGUAUUAGUGGUAUCUGAGCUACUACAGGUGUGAUAACUAUCUAUGCCUUGGUAUGCUGCAUGAAACAGAUUGCGCCGCUUAUAACAAGUGGGAAACACAAUUUUGAUGAAUUUGACCUCAAAUCAGGUAGGACUACCCGCUGAACUUAAGCAUAUCAAUAAGCGGAGGA